CAGAGUAUUACACUGGCACCUAUAGCAGGCGCCUCUGCUAGUGAGUCACAGCAGGAGAACCUUUU